ensembl:miRNA
UGAGGCAGGAGAAUUGCUUGAACCCAGGAGGUGGAGGUUGCAGUGAGCCGAGAUCAUGCCACUGUACUCCAGCCUGGGUGACAGAGUGAGACUCCAUCUC